UUUAUAUCAAAUUUAAUCAUGUUGAGUAGAGGAUAAAUUAUUCAUUAUUUUGAAAUUUGACUAAAUAAUAUGCUCUUUUGCAGUGGGCCACUCUGGGGAUUUGUAGUUGCUUUCAUGCUUUUUAACAUCAAAGGUAUGCAUAUACGAAAAAAAUAUAAGGCUUUUUGCAAAAUUGACCUACAACUUAAAGUCAAACACAAAACUAACUUCCUUUUUUUUGAAAAUUGGUUUUGCCCUAUUCACCCCACAAGUUCAUAUAAUUUACGAAAAUGCCAUCAAUUUUUUUUUCUUUUUUUUUCGAAAACGACAUCUUUACUCUCUCACCCUCAUC
rnacentral:lncRNA from 1 species